UACAGAGACUGCAAGCGUUAUUCGGAUUCACUGGGCGUAAAGGGUGCGCAGGCGGCCGAGUGUGUGAGGCGUGAAAGCCCGGGGCUUAACCCCGGAAUUGCACCUCAAACUACACGGCUAGAGCAUUGGAGAGGGUAGCAGAAUUCAUGGUGUAGCAGUGAAAUGCGUAGAUAUCUGGAGGAAUACCGGUGGCGAAGGCGGCAUCCUGGACCGACAUUGACGCUGAGGAGCGAAAGCUAGGGGAGCAAACGGG
rnacentral:rRNA from 1 species